rnacentral:rRNA from 1 species
UGGGGGAAUAUUGCACAAUGGGGCGCAAGCCUGAUGCAGCAACGCCGCGUGAGGGAUGACGGCCUUCGGGUUGUAAACCUCUUUUAGCAGGGAAGAAGCGAAAGUGACGGUACCUGCAGAAAAAAGCACCGGCUAACUACGUGCCAGCAGCCGCGGUAAUACGUAGGGUGCAAGCGUUGUCCGGAAUUAUUGGGCGUAAAGAGCUCGUAGGCGGUCUGUCGCGUCUGCUGUGAAAUCCCCGAGGCUCAACCUCGGGCCUGCAGUGGGUACGGGUAGACUAGAGUGCGGUAGGGGGAGAAUGGAACUCCUGGUGUAGCGGUGGAAUGCGCAGAUAUCAGGAAGAACACCGAUGGGCGAAGGCAGUUCUCUGGGCCGUAACUGACGCUGAGGAGCGAAAGCGUGGGGGAGCGAACAGGAUUAGAUACCCUGGUAGUCCACGCCGUAAACGUUGGGCGCUAGAUGUGGGGACCAUUCCACGGGUUUCCGUGUCGGCAGCUAACGCAUUAAGCGCCCCGCCUGGGGAGUACGGCCGCAAGGCUAAAAC